rfam:Astyanax mexicanus chromosome 18, whole genome shotgun sequence.
GGGUGCCCAAACCCCUUUUCAUGGCACUGUAUAUAUAUAUAUAUACAGUGCCAUGAAAAGGGGUUUGGGCACCCC